AGGAGCCGUAUGAAGUGAAAAUCUCAUGUAUGGUUCUGUAGAGUGGCAGUAAGGGUGACUUAUCUGUCAAAUUUUCUACUAUCAC
rfam:Lupinus angustifolius cultivar Tanjil chromosome LG17, whole genome shotgun sequence.